UUACAAAUUAGCUCAGCCAGUAGAGCAUGAGACUCUUAAGCUCAGGGUCGUGUGUUCGAAAUCCACGUUGGGCAAAA